rnacentral:rRNA from 1 species
GUGUCAGCAGCCGCGGUAAUACGUAGGGGGCAAGCGUUAUCCGGAUUCAUUGGGCGUAAAGAGCGCGUAGGCGGAUUGUUAAGUCAGAUGUGAAAACUGGGGGCUCAACCCGCAGCCUGCAUCUGAAACUGGCAGUCUUGAGUCUGGUAGAGGAAAGUGGAAUUCCCAGUGUAGCGGUGAAAUGCGCAGAUAUUGGGAGGAACACCAGUGGCGAAGGCGGCUUUCUGGGCCACGACUGACGCUGAGGCGCGAAAGCUAGGGGAGCGAACAGGAUUAGAAACCCUCGUAGUCC